rnacentral:rRNA from 1 species
CGGACGGGUGAGUAAUGUCUGGGAAACUAGCCUGAUGGAGGGGGAUAACUACUGGAAACGGUAGCUAAUACCGCAUAACGUCGCAAGACCAAAGAGGGGGACCUUAGGGCCUCUUGCCAUCGGAUGUGCCCAGAUGGGAUUAGCUAGUAGGUGGGGUAACGGCUCACCUAGGCGACGAUCCCUAGCUGGUCUGAGAGGAUGACCAGCCACACUGGAACUGAGACACGGUCCAG